rnacentral:rRNA from 1 species
AAACAUAGCCUUUAGCCCAACAAGUAUUAAAGGUCCCGCCUGCCCAGUGACUUUUAAACGGCCGCGGUAUCCUAACCGUGCAAAGGUAGCAUAAUCACUUGUCCCCUAAAUAGGGACUAGAAUGAACGGCUAAAUGAGGACUAAACUGUCUCUUGUAACCAGCCAAUGAAACUGAUCUCUCAGUCCAAAAGCUGAGAUUAAUUCAUAAGACGAGAAGACCCUGUGGAGCUUCCAAACCGAGCCCAUAGCCCAUGACAUCUUGGUUUUUAGUUGGGGCAACUUCGGAGUAUAAAAAACCCUCCGAAAUACCAUAAUACUACCUAGAUCAACACAUCAAAGUAGUUUACUUAGACCCAGAAAUCUUAAAAAAUUUUCUGACCAAUGAACCAAGUUACCCCAGGGAUAACAGCGCCAUCCCUUCCUAGAGUCCCUAUCGACGAGGGGGUUUACGACCUCGAUGUUGGAUCAGGACACCCCAAUAGUGCAGCCGCUAUUAAAGGUUCGUUUGUUCAACGAUUAAUAGUCCUACGUGAUCU